UAAAACCAGCACCUCAAGUGGUCAGGAUGAUUAUUGGGCCUAAAGCAUCCGUAGCCGGCUCUGUAAGUUUUCGGUUAAAUCCAUAUGCUCAACAUAUGGGCCGCCGGGAAUACUGCAUAGCUAGGGAGUGGGAGAGGUAGACGGUACUCCGUAGGAAGGGGUAAAAUCCUUUGAUCUAUGGAUGACCACCUGUGGCGAAGGCGGUCUACCAGAACACGUUCGACGGUGAGGGAUGAAAGCUGGGGGAGCAAACCGGAUUAGAUACCCGGGUAGUCCCAGCUGUAAACUAUGCAAACUCAGUGAUGCAUUGGCUUGUGGCCAGUGCAGUGCCGCAGAGAAGUCGUUAAGUUUGCCGCCUGGGAAGUACGUACGCAAGUAUG
rnacentral:rRNA from 2 species